CCUGAAUCAAUGGUGGGUCUUUUUCCUACAAAGUACUUGUAAAUAAAUCAAGAAAACGGUGUAACAACAAUGAUCGAUUGGGAGUGUAAUUUCAGAGUUGUUGAUGAUGGAGCAGAAUAAGCAUGAGGAGGUUUGUGGUGAUGAUAAUAAAUUUCCUCCUUUAUUUUCAAAAUAUCCAUGGGUUGGUAUUCAGAAUCUUGAACAUCUUACUCACUCGUCUUUCUCCACCUUGUUUUGAAUCCCCGAGUUGUCAGGGAAACGUAUCCGAGGGUGUUUCCAUGGGUGGAUAAUUCUAUCUAAUCAUCCACACAAUGAUAUUUGGUCUCUGUGGAACCCCUCGUCCACCUAACAUAAUAUCUCUUCCUCCCUUGCUUUUGAAAGACGGAGAUUAUGAUUCUAUCCGAGAGUGUUGUUUGUCUGCCCCUCCUGAUAAUCCUAAUUCAGUUAUCCUGUUACAAAAAUCAAUAAGCCCACCUUUGUUUUUUGUCAACUAAUUCCUAAAAAAAUAAAACGCCUAAAAAAUAAGCCAAGAUGGACCGAGAUGUCUUAUGCUUAUCAACUCAGGAGAGUAACUUGGGAUGGAAGUUUACUACAUAGCCUAACUUGUUGCAAUGGUGAUAUAUAUGCUUUAGGUGAUGACAAUUCUAUUUCUCAAUUUGUCAUACGGGUUGAAAUUGUAGUCAAGGAUAGAGAAGUUGUGGUACAAUUAUCAUCAUUUGGCGUGGUCCCUUUUCCUCCUUGCUUUCGUUGUUCCAAACUCCUUCAUUUUCUGACAGGGUCUCGUACAGAGUUGUUUUACAUAGCAGUUGGUUUUCGUAGGGAAACUGACAAAACGCCUGGUGAUGUGUUUUUGUUUAAAUGUGACAUGACUAGUAUAAACUGGAAGGUCUUGGAAUGCCUCAAAAAGUGGGACAUGACUCGUGUGAAAGAAUUGGAAGAAGGUGUGGGUUUCACGAACGAUUUGGAACCUACUCAACAAUUGUGGGAAGAAACGAAAGACCUUAAAGGUGUUAGAUAUUGUGGGAUCAGAAACGUGUUCAUCACGUCCCGAGAAGACAAGAUCAAGACUUAAAGCCCAUUGAUGCAUAUUUAGGCCCAAGAUUAAAAUUAGAGUCGGUCUAAUUUAGACCUAUGUUUCCAAUUAUUGUUCCAAGCUCUUGUAUAAAUAGAACCCUCAUGUAAUACGAUUAAUUAAUAAAAUCAAAAAACCAAAAAUAAUUCCAUUCGUU